UGCAUUUGGAGCUUAGAACAUAGAACACAGAGCUCAGAACAUGGCACUGAGAGUUCAGAACCAUCACACACCUCACAAACAAAGUGAGUGAAGAGCUAGAAAACCACACACAGCUAAGGCCAAAAACAGACCACACAGCCGAGCACAGCACAGCGCGUCUGAUCCAAACACUCAAAUAACACAACACACAGCUAAGGCCAAAAACAGACCACACAGCCGAGCACAGCACAGCGCGUCUGAUCCAAACACUCAAAUAACACAACACACAGCUAAGGCCAAAAACAGACCACACAGCCGAGCACAGCACAGCGCGUCUGAUCCAAACACUCAAAUAACACAACACACAGCUAAGGCCAAAAACAGACCACACAGCCGAGCACAGCACAGCGCGUCUGAUCCAAACACUCAAAUAACACAACACACAGCUAAGGCCAAAAACAGACCACACAGCCGAGCACAGCACAGCGCGUCUGAUCCAAACACUCAAAUAACACAACACACAGCUAAGGCCAAAAACAGACCACACAGCCGAGCACAGCACAGCGCGUCUGAUCCAAACACUCAAAUAACACAACACACAGCUAAGGCCAAAAACAGACCACACAGCCGAGCACAGCACAGCGCGUCUGAUCCAAACACUCAAAUAACACAACACACAGCUAAGACCAAAAACAGACCACACAGCCGAGCACAGCCCAGCGCGUCUGAUCCAAACACUCAAAUAACACAACACACAGCUAAGGCCAAAAACAGACCACACAGCCGAGCACAGCACAGCGCGUCUGAUCCAAACACACAAAUUACACAACACACACAACGCAUCCUUCACUGCACAAGCCGCACACACUCAAAUAACACAACACACACAACACAUCCUCCACUGCACAAGCCGCACACACUCUGCCUUUUGGCAGUGUAUCCUGUGAACCUGACACUGACACACACAGAGUGCUUCAGACAUGGAAUGCCCUGGGCCGCGGUGGAUACACACCUACCAGAAACACUCUCUCUCAGCCCAGCUCAGUCCAUGUACACAGUAUUAAUAGAAGGUGUAUAAGUCAGGAGGGGUCACCCUGGAGAAGUGUG
rnacentral:lncRNA from 1 species